rnacentral:lncRNA from 1 species
GCGGUCCCAAGUAUCGUGUUGCCUAAGUGGCCAAUUCAACCGGAGUGAUUUGGCUUCAGAAGGUGUACUGCUGGAGAGCGUCUUUAUACUGCCGGAGUGCUUGUCUUCAUUGCUGGAGUGACCUAUUCAACUGUCGGAGCGCUGUGGCUCCAAAAAGUGUAUUGCCGGAGUGAGUCAUUGCAUUGCUGGAGCAUGUGUCCUCAUUGCCGG